GUGAAUUUGCACCAAAUGCAACAAGAAAGAGGGAACAGCUGCGACAAGGUUUUCUGAUGUGGAGUGAAAGGGCUUUGAAGCUGCUUUGUGUCCCCAGUUUCAGAGUUCUACCUUAACAAAGCAGUGUAAGAAGGUGCUUUGAAAUGUAUAUUGACCGUAGGAACCAACACAUCCCAGUCUGGCUUCUCUGUGGAUUUUACCAUUGGAGGAGGUCCCAAAGCCCAGUGGCUCUGAGGAAGUGCCUCAUAACUGUGGGGAAUUCCUGCCACGGAGACAUCUCACAUGCUAUGCAGAGCCACGCAGUGCCCGUGCUCCACUCCUACAAAUACAGCAGCGCGUGGCUCAGGUGAGUCAUGCCUCUUUCUGCCUCAUGCCCAAUUAAUUGCUCAGAGCUCGUGUACCGUUAUGUGACGUGUUGCAGCCUGCAGGACUCACUUUUGCUAGUCCUCGUGCCACUUGUCCUUCUUGUGACAGAGGUGCAACCCUGUGGGGUGCCUGUGGUGCUGCGGGGCCAGGAGCCCCUGAACACUGCUGUAUCUCACUGCCAGCUGUAAUCUGAAGCACUGGGCCCUGCAGGGAUGAUUUCAAACAAAGCACCGGAGCUGCUAUUAGGUCAUCUCGGAGCCUUCUCUUCUCCAGGCCCAACUCCCUCAGCCUGUCCUCAUAGGAGAGGUGUUCCACCCCUUGGGUCAUUUCUGUGGCCCUCCUCCGGAUGCACUCCAACAGCUCCAUGUCUCUCCCGUACUGAGGACUCCACAUCUGGACGCGGUACUCCAGGUGAGGUCUCACCUCAGGGCAGGCAGAGCAGAGGGGCAGGAUCACCUCCCUCUCCCUGCUGGCCACUCUUCCUUUGAUGCAGCCCAGGAUACGGUUGGCUCUUCUUUUAAAAAGACAAGAAAUUUUACUCCACC
rnacentral:lncRNA from 1 species